GCUUGUCUCAAAGAUUAAGCCAUGCAUGUCUAAGUAUAAACAACUUUAUACUGUGAAACUGCGUACAGCUCAUUAUAUCAGUUAUAAUUUAUUUGAUGGUGAUUUACUACAUGGAUAACCGUGGUAAUUCUAGAGCUAAUACAUGCUGGCGUGCCCGACUUUUGCGGAAGGGCGGUAUUUAUUAGAUAACAAGCCAAUAUUCCUCCGGGUCUAUUGUGGUGAUUCAUAAUAACUGAUCGAAUCGCAAGGCCUUUGGCCGCGAUAAGUCAUUCAAGUUUCUGCCCCAUCAGCUUUCGAUGGUAGUGUAUUGGACUACCAUGGCGUUCACGGGUAACGGAGAAUUAGGGUUCGAUUCCGGAGAGGGAGCCUGAGAAACGGCUACCACAUCUAAGGAAGGCAGCAGG
rnacentral:rRNA from 1 species